rnacentral:rRNA from 1 species
UACGUAGGUGGCAAGCGUUGUCCGGAAUUAUUGGGCGUAAAGCGCGCGCAGGUGGUUUCUUAAGUCUGAUGUGAAAGCCCACGGCUCAACCGUGGAGGGUCAUUGGAAACUGGGGAACUUGAGUGCAGAAGAGGAAAGUGGAAUUCCAAGUGUAGCGGUGAAAUGCGUAGAUAUCCGGAGGAACACCAGUGGCGAAAGCGGCCACCUGGACUGCACCUGACGCUGACACGCGAAAGCUAGGGGAGCGAACGGG